rnacentral:rRNA from 1 species
GGGUUGUGAGGUUAAGCGACUAAGCGUACACGGUGGAUGCCCUGGCAGUCAGAGGCGAUGAAGGACGUGCUAAUCUGCGAUAAGCGUCGGUGAGGUGAUAUGAACCGUUAUAACCGGCGAUUUCCGAAUGGGGAAACCCAGUGUGUUUCGACACACUAUCAUUAACUGAAUCCAUAGGUUAAUGAGGCGAACCGGGGGAACUGAAACAUCUAAGUACCCCGAGGAAAAGAAAUCAACCGAGAUUCCCCCAGUAGCGGCGAGCGAACGGGGAGGAGCCCAGAGCCUGAAUCAGUGUGUGUGUUAGUGGAAGCGUCUGGAAAGGCGCGCGAUACAGGGUGACAGCCCCGUACACAAAAAUGCACAUAUUGUGAGCUCGAUGAGUAGGGCGGGACACGUGGUAUCCUGUCUGAAUAUGGGGGGACCAUCCUCCAAGGCUAAAUACUCCUGACUGACCGAUAGUGAACCAGUACCGUGAGGGAAAGGCGAAAAGAACCCCGGCGAGGGGAGUGAAAAAGAACCUGAAACCGUGUACGUACAAGCAGUGGGAGCCUCUUAAUGGGGUGACUGCGUACCUUUUGUAUAAUGGGUCAGCGACUUAUAUUCUGUAGCAAGGUUAACCGAAUAGGGGAGCCGAAGGGAAACCGAGUCUUAACUGGGCGUUAAGUUGCAGGGUAUAGACCCGAAACCCGGUGAUCUAGCCAUGGGCAGGUUGAAGGUUGGGUAACACUAACUGGAGGACCGAACCGACUAAUGUUGAAAAAUUAGCGGAUGACUUGUGGCUGGGGGUGAAAGGCCAAUCAAACCGGGAGAUAGCUGGUUCUCCCCGAAAGCUAUUUAGGUAGCGCCUCGUGAAUUCAUCUCCGGGGGUAGAGCACUGUUUCGGCAAGGGGGUCAUCCCGACUUACCAACCCGAUGCAAACUGCGAAUACCGGAGAAUGUUAUCACGGGAGACACACGGCGGGUGCUAACGUCCGUCGUGAAGAGGGAAACAACCCAGACCGCCAGCUAAGGUCCCAAAGUCAUGGUUAAGUGGGAAACGAUGUGGGAAGGCCCAGACAGCCAGGAUGUUGGCUUAGAAGCAGCCAUCAUUUAAAGAAAGCGUAAUAGCUCACUGGUCGAGUCGGCCUGCGCGGAAGAUGUAACGGGGCUAAACCAUGCACCGAAGCUGCGGCAGCGACGCUUAUGCGUUGUUGGGUAGGGGAGCGUUCUGUAAGCCUGCGAAGGUGUGCUGUGAGGCAUGCUGGAGGUAUCAGAAGUGCGAAUGCUGACAUAAGUAACGAUAAAGCGGGUGAAAAGCCCGCUCGCCGGAAGACCAAGGGUUCCUGUCCAACGUUAAUCGGGGCAGGGUGAGUCGACCCCUAAGGCGAGGCCGAAAGGCGUAGUCGAUGGGAAACAGGUUAAUAUUCCUGUACUUGGUGUUACUGCGAAGGGGGGACGGAGAAGGCUAUGUUGGCCGGGCGACGGUUGUCCCGGUUUAAGCGUGUAGGCUGGUUUUCCAGGCAAAUCCGGAAAAUCAAGGCUGAGGCGUGAUGACGAGGCACUACGGUGCUGAAGCAACAAAUGCCC